GAUGAACGCUGGCGGCGUGCCUAAUACAUGCAAGUCGAGCGAACAGACGAGGAGCUUGCUCCUCUGACGUUAGCGGCGGACGGGUGAGUAACACGUGGAUAACCUACCUAUAAGACUGGGAUAACUUCGGGAAACCGGAGCUACUACCGGAUAAUAUAUUGAACCGCAUGGUUCAAUAGUUAAAGACGGUUUUGCUGUCACUUAUAGAUGGAUCCGCGCCGCAUUAGCUAGUUGGUAAGGUAACGGCUUACCAAGGCAACGAUGCGUAGCCGACCUGAGAGGGUGAUCGGCCACACUGGAACUGAGACACGGUCCAGACUCCUACGGGAGGCAGCAGUAGGGAAUCUUGCGCAAUGGGCGAAAGCCUGACGGAGCAACGCCGCGUGAGUGAUGAAGGUCUUCGGAUCGUAAAACUCUGUUAUUAGGGAAGAACAAAUGUGUAAGUAACUAUGCACGUCUUGACGGUACCUAAUCAGAAAGCCACGGCUAACUACGUG
rnacentral:rRNA from 1 species